UAAAGCUUUCAGUGAUGCCAGCGCAGAAUAUUACACCCCAAUAUGUCCCUAUGUCCCUUGUUGUUGUUCUCAUAGCUUCAGCAAGCUGGGGUCCAUAGCAGCAGCCAGUCAUGGUCCCUGGUUUCUCAGUGCAGCCUCCUCCAGCCACUAUAGAGGUCUGCCUACUUUCUUCUUCUUCUUCUUCUUCUUCUUCUUCUUCUUCUUCUUCUUCUUCUUCUUCCCAUAAGCCUUUGCAGAGAGCAUCUCCUCCCCCUGUCACCCUCCAUCUCAGAAGCUUCCUACAGAAAGGACUUUUUCUCUUGUGACAUCACACCCACUGUAAUCCUAGCAGUCUCCUCCUUUCUUGUCUGAUGCUGAAUGUCUCACCUUUACUCAGGGUAAUGACUCUGCCAUCACCUGUCUUUAUUCUUUGGUGGCACCUCUCUAAGUCAAGCUCAUGAAGAAGCUGCCUUGUCCGAAAACCCCACAUUGUAACUCACUCUACGUGGGGCUGCCCUUGAGACUGACCCAGGAACUCCAGUGGGUGCAGAAUGCUGUGGCGAGACUCCUUACCGGGUCCUCACCGUGGGAUCACAUUCACCCAGUGCUAUACCAGUUGCACUGGCUGCCGAUGGAGUACAGGAUCAGGUUUUAGGUGCUGGUUUUAACCUUUAAAGCCCCAUAUGGCCUAGGACCCUCGUACCUAUGGGACUGCCUCUCCUGGUAUGUCCCACGGAGGACCUUACGGUCUUCAAACAAAAACAUCUUGGAGGUCCCAGGCCACAGGGAGGUUAGGCUGGCCUCAACCAGAGCCAGGGCUUUUUCGGCUGUGGCCCCGAUCUGGUGGAAUGCUCUGUCACAAGAGACUAGGGCCCUGCGGGAAUUGACAUCUUUCCGCAGGGCCUGCAAGACAGAGCUGUUCCACCAGGCCUUUGGCCAAGGCACAGUCUGAGCCCCUCCUUUGGCAAUCCUCAUAAAACUGUAGCCCAAUGGUUGCCAUUAAUUUGAUUCUGAAUUGAUUAGAGAAUGAAUUGAUUUUAGAAUUUAUUUUAAUUAAUUGAUUGUGAUUUUAUGUAGAUUGUGUUACUUUUAUUGUUGUUAGCCGCUCUGAGCCUGGUUCUGGCUGGGGAGGGCGGGAUAUAAAUAAAAAAUUAUUAUUAUUAUUACUACUACAUGUCAGCCUAGAUAGCUUAGUUGGUUAGUGCAUGGUGCUGAUAACGCCCAGGUUGCAGGUUCAAUCCCUGCAAGGGACAGCUGCAUAUUCCUGCAUUGCAGAGGGUUGGAGUAGAUCAGGGGUCAGCAAGCUUACCAAACGAUGGGCCGAUCGACGCUCUGUCCAUCGGAGGGUGGGCCGGAGCGUGUGUGCAUGUGCACUCUUCCAGGUCAGAGGAGCACCCGUGCCCAUGCGGACACGCUAUUUCUGGUGCUCCUCUGACCUGGAAGUGCGCCGGAAAUAGCAUGUAUGCAUGAGCACGGGCACUUCUCAGUCCUGCAUGCGUGCACACACGCUAUUUCUGGUGCACAUCCGGGUCGUAGGAGCACCCAUGCACAUGCGCACAGGCGCCAUCAACCCGGAAGUCGGUCCCUGCACCACACUGCACCGCGUCCGUAAGAGCGGGCGGUGGCAGGGGUUGCCUUAGUCUGCUGACCCCUGGAGUAGAUGAUCCUUAGGGUCCCUUCCAACUCUACAGUUUUGUGAUUCUAUGAUUUACUAAUUGCAGAGAUUACGGGGAGAACCUGGCACCCAGGGAUUUUAGGCCCCCUGAAGACUCAUAACAGUACUGAAGACAAAUAACCAACACGAAGUACAAUGUAACAUAAUAAAAUUACAGCACGAUAAAGGCAAUAAAUCAAUGUGAAAUCAUAAAACAGUGAUGCAUAAAUAAUACGAUAUUCAAUCUGACAGUAAUAUUACUGGUCAGGAAUUGCCUGCUUAAGCAAAUUCACUUUAAGCAUGCAGCAAAAUGAUAGUACAGUUUGCUCACCCCUAAUCUCAGAAAGAAGGCUGCUCCAGAAAGAAAGAUGCCAUUACUGCUAAGGACCUCUUCCAAAUGUCUACAGAAUGGAACUCACUGAUCUCAGGGAGUGGGCAGAUUUAUAUUUUAGGGCAAAAGUAUAUGGGAAGCUAAUGCGAUGAUUAUGCAUCGUUUGUGCCAGCUGUGGGAUGCCUAGAGAAAGCAUUCAAGCAAGAACUGGAGUAAACUCACCCUCCUUGAGUUUCCAGCAACUGGUAUUCAGAAGCGGGU
rnacentral:lncRNA from 1 species